UACGGGAGUGGCAAGCGUUAUCCGGAAUUAUUGGGCGUAAAGCGUCCGCAGGCGGUCUUUUAAGUCUGUCGUCAAAGCGUGGAGCUUAACUCCAUUACUGCGAUGGAAACUGGGAGACUAGAGUGUGGUAGGGGCAGAGGGAAUUCCCGGUGUAGCGGUGAAAUGCGUAGAUAUCGGGAAGAACACCAGUGGCGAAGGCGCUCUGCUGGGCCAUAACUGACGCUCAUGGACGAAAGCCAGGGGAGCGAAAGGG
rnacentral:rRNA from 1 species